rnacentral:tRNA from 1 species
GGCGAAGUAGCAAAACGGCCAUGCAGCGGUCUGCAAAACCGCUUAACCGAGUUCAACUCUCGGCUUCGCCUCCA